AUGUGGAAGGUCAUAUAUUUUGAUGGUUGGGAUGGAUUAGGAGCAUCUGCUGUUCUUAGAUCCGUAGCUGCAGUGCUUCCAUCUAGGAGAACCACUCCAGAACUAUGCUUUGACAAAAUAUUUUUUAUAGAUUGCUCAAGGUGGAAAAAUAGAAGAGGAGUGCAGAGGGCAAUUGCAGAGGAGUUGCAACUUGAUAGCUCUGUAAUGGCUAUUCUGGAUGAGCAAGAUGAACAUGAUGAUUUUUUGGGACAUGAUGAAAGCACAAGGCAUGAGAUAGAUGUUGUUAGUCAGGUGAUUGAUCGAGCCUUGAGGGAUAUUAAAUUUAUGUUGAUUUUUCUUAAUGGGGAUGAUGAUGAGGUUGACGUGGGUCUCAUGGGUAUUCCUCGACUAGUAAGAUAUGGAAAUAACGUGAUGAUAUGGACCUUCAGCAGAAGUUGCAUAACCAUGCGUCACGACCGUUCUGGGGUAAAAAACAAGCUACGAUAUACACUGCUUUUCAUUCAUUGCUUUAUGGAUAAAUUGUCAAGCUCACAGUUUCUUGGCCUGCUACAUGAAGAAGCUGCUACCAUAGUUGCUCGCAACCCCUGUAUGCUGGACAUUGACCAAACAGUUGUUGCAGAUUGCUGUCUCUAUGAGUUAUUCCUGCACUGUAACUUCCACACCUUCACUAAAUUUGAUUGGGUUUCUCAUUCUUCCAAGUAUUGGAUAUGUGAUGCAAUCAUACAAAGUGACAGAGCAUNNGAUAUUAGUAAGGCAUGGCAUCUGGAGAUAAAUUGGAGUUGUGAUGCUUCUCUACUUGAUCAUGUUCUUAAAAUGUUCAUGGAACAUUCAGAGUCUCCUUUCUUGGUAAUUGAAGAUGAUGAUGUAUACGAAGAAGGCCCAUACCGUUGGAUUUCGGUCGUGUCAAGAGAUGCAGAAGUACAUGGUAUGAAAACAAUACCUGCGGCGGCAUCAUCUUUCUUCUUGGCAUUUGAAAUAUCAAAUCACCCACCAGCUUUACCAGAUGGAUUCUUUGAUCAUUGCAGCAAGCUUGGUGUACUGAUUCUCUAUUGUUGUGCCUUUAGUUUUGCUUCACCUUCCUUCAUGAAGUGUCAUGGCCUAAGAUUCCUUGGACUGGACCGCUGUACAGAUGACCAAACAAUUCAAGGAGAACAUAACAUAGAGUGGUUAUGUUUGUAUGGCCUAUGUGUGCUGGACCUACGUUACACAUACUGGAAUGAAAUCUUAUCUCAAGAAAAGUUGGAUCUCAUGACUAAUAUCAGAGAGCUAAAUAUAGAGGGCGCCAUGGGAUCACAAUACAUAGCUCACCUACAGCGCCGCUUACCUAACCUCCAGAGGCUUCGAAUAAUCAAAUCAACAUGUCAAUGGGAGAUAUCAGACGAUGCCGAUCACUACUUCAUAGACAAGAAAAGUAUGGAAAUUCUUGACUUGUCAGGCAAUCGUCACAUGAAAAUUCUUCCACCCAGCCUAUCAAAGGCAAAUAGCCUCCGGUUGCUUGUACUUGAUGGUUGUGAUGAACUGGAGAGUGUAGGUGGGCUCCCUCCCUCCCUCGAAUCCCUUAGCUUCAAUGGAUAUGGGCCAGCUUCUCAAUGGACACAAACUGUUGGGCUACCUCCAAAACAAUUUCGUCAAUCCAGCACAACAGAUAAUAAGGACGUCAGAAUAUCUAAGAUCUCCUUAGCAGGCUGCACACAAUUGGAGAAUUUGUUCUUGUGUUGGCUACCCAACCUAGUGGAAUUGGACCUCUCGGGAACAGCAAUCAAGAUACUUGACUUCAAGACUGUGGUGGUGAAAGUCCCAAGGCUCAAACGGCUGUUUCUAAUAGGAUGCAUGCACCUUCGUGCAGUGAACUUUAUGUAUGAGUUACCUUAUACCCCUUCUAGCCUGGAGUUAUUGUGCGUAGACACACGGGCUGGAAUCGUGUGUUCUAGACCAGCCAUCGGAAAAAGAGAAUCUUUCGGGUUUCAGAUGCAUGCUGUUUUUACGGAUGCAAGGUUUGCUCGCUCCUUGAUAGAUCUGUUCCAUUUUGCUGGUCCAAGUAUGUAUGCUAUUGAGUUUAGUAUCCACCUCACCUCCUCACCUGCGUGUGAUGGGGUUGUUCAAUUUGAAGCAACCAGCAUGGAUAAGGCUGGUCCUAGUGAUCAAGGGACCUUGCAGCUUAUUCCAGCAGGCCCGUAUAGUGAAGUACUUGGCACGGCCGGCGCUGCUCCGAUGCAGGCCUUUCCACGGCCUCCGACCACAAAGUUUCAUCAACAUGUAGAGAUUGCUGAAGGGAGCUUCCACAUGGAGAUGGAACUAGAAAAGGGUAAAGGACUAGGCGACCUGAUAGCAAAACAUGCCAAAUCCAUGCAUGUGCAUGAUGUCUCGGUAAAUUUUAUUCUGCCUGAGCACUCUUGGCAGGGGCUUAGGUGGUUCUGCGUGGAGAGGUGCCCAAAGUUGGAUACCAGUAUCUUUAGAGAUUCCUAUAAUUUUCCUCAGUUGGAGCCUGAGUUGUCAGAUCUCCUAAUGUCCGGCAAGAUU
rnacentral:rRNA from 1 species